CUGGGCUUUGUAGUGCCGCCACGGCGCAUGCGCAUAGAUCCCUGGGGAAGAUUCCGGAAAGAAGGGGACAGUGAGUGCGCAGCAACUGGAGCCGGAGAGUUACGAUCAGAAUUAAAUGCUGAGACAUCAUGUUGGCAGCAAAGUUCACCUGUCUGAGGAAUUUACCAGCUCUGAGCCUGAGGCCUGUUCUCACCCAAGGGGGUCCAGCAUGGAGGAGCUGCAACCUUAAAGGCACUCAGUGGCUUCUGCAGCCCAAACAAAAUUAUGCCACCAAGUCACGUGUUAACGUACGACAGACAAAAACAAUGCGUGAAAAGAUGAAGGAAGCAGUGUUGAGCCCUUCAUUGGAAACUGCAGCAAGAUGUAAGACUAUGUUUCAAGAGCUUAGCCUU